GUUAGACCUUGGAAAGAAGAUUGGCUUAGAGGGAAGAGCUUGAAGAGCAAAGGAGUUGAGGCAAGGAAGGUGUGGGAAACAGAACUUACCUCAUCUAGCAUCUUUUGGAGGUAUCAAGUUGCAAUCUUUACUCCCCUUUUCUUCUAGAUCUCUUUGUGGUUGAGUUCUAGGGUUUUAUGGAUUUUUGGGAGUCACAUUGGUGAGCUAUGGGCUAGAUCUGAAGUUGUAACUUCGUAUCUGGACCCUUAUCAAGUUCUAGAAUCAUAAAGUUUCUAUUUUGGUCGUUGUUGAGGCCCUCCUUGUGCAUGAAACCCCAUUAAGAGCUUAGAUUUGGCAUUAAGAGCCUUGUUAGUCAUGCAUGCACGUAAAGUUUGCAACUUUACGUAAAAAGCAUGUCCUAGAAGCUUGGAUCUGUAAUUUAGAGCCAUUACAUGGCUUAAAUAAGUCUGUAUGGCUUAAGGACUGAAGGAACUUGGCGAGUCGCAAGGUUGACUCGGCGAGUCAUAUGAAGAUGGUCGAUGAACUCGACGAGUUGAUGAACAACUCGGCGAGUCCGAUGAAGAUUGCCUUAGACUUGACGAGUUGUAUGAACAACUCGGCGAGUCGGAUGAGUUUUCCUCGAGUUAUGAAUGUGUGCGUAGCCGACGUGUUGCAAGAUGGAAACUCGACGAGUGGACUUAGGGUUUCGAUCGAAAAUCAUAGGAACUCGACGAGUCACCCGAUGACUCGGCAAGUGGGAAAGAACUUUGAAGAACUCGGCGAGUAGCCGAGGGUAGUCGGCGUGUUAAGGUCAACAGGGACUGUUGACCUUGACUGAGGACUUUGACUUUGAAUUUGACCUGGGGUUGACUGGUUGGUUUAUGGAGUACUUGUAAGGUUGAGAAUUUAUGAGUAUGCUCAUACUAUGGUAAUAGAUGGAGGAGUCUUUGGUGAGUGAUCCGAGAGUUGGGAUUUAUCUACGAGUCGACAUUUGCGAGGUGAGUUAUCCUCACUGUAUCAAAAGGGUCUAAGGCACCAAGGCCAGCCCUUUAUGGUUUGCAUCCUGGUUUAGGAUGGUUGUUAUGUUAUUGAUAUGCUAGAUACAUCCUGGUUUAGGGUGGUUGCUAUGUUACUGAUAUACUAGAUUUCAUGCUGGUUUAGGAUGAUUUCUAUGUUAGAUUUCGGUUAGAUCGGUAUCCUGAUUAUAGGAUGUUGUUAUGCUAUUUGAUCUAUUAGAUCAGUUUGAUUGUUAUGAAUGCUAGCGUAUGAUAUUUAUGUGCACAUGUGCGUUGAUUGGGGAUUGGAUUAAGGCGGUCCUGCUUUGUGCUGAAGGCCAACAUACCCUAUGAGCGGUCCGGGGAGACUGUAGGCCCACGAGGCGGUCCAGUCAAGCCGAAGGCUCGGAAUAGAUUCAGUUAGACUGUAGGCCCUGUAGGGCGAUCCAGUCAGGCCGAUGGCCCAAUAUGCAUAUUGAUUGAUUGAUUAUUACUAAUAUCAUAUUAUUAGUAUGGUGUUGGUAUUUUGGGGGUAGCUCACUGAGCCCUUGGGCUUACAGUUUUCAAUUAUUGUUUCAGGUACUUCAAGAGAUUGUGGCAAGGCGAUGGUGUGACCGUACUGCUCCUCAUCCUUACGAGCUGUUUUGGGAUACUCUGAUGAAUAAUGAUUUGAAAACAAUUUGUAAGAAAACACUAUUUGGGUUUAAAUUGUGAUUGGAAAAGUUUAAAUCUGGUGUAAAAUUUAAGGAUGUUACAAGCUGGUAUCAGAGCCUUGGUUUGAGUGAAUUGGAGGAGCACUCGUGUGAAUCCAGUCUCAAAUCAAGGAGAUUUUUGGAAAGUAAAAUUUUAAAAUGGGUUUAAAAAUAAAGGAUGGAGGAUGCAGAGGGUACGAUCAGCCGGAGCCUGUAAGUAAACCCCAAAAUACCAUACAGUUAUUUGAUAUUAUGAUAUGUUAGAACAGCAUGCUAGUGCUAGGCUAGGGAUCUUCAGGAAUCGCAUGAUAGACUUGCCUGAUUAUAUGAUGCCUACUAGCCUAGGGUUUCUCAUAUAUGGAAUUAACAUCAUUACUGUAGUUGUUAGUGUAUGCAUCACGGUUGUGUGUAAUCAAGAUCUUAUAUCCUGAGAAUGUUGGAUUCAGUUUUCAGAUAGGAUUAGAUAUUCGAAAGUCUAUUGGGUCCAGUGUUAUGUGCGACUAGCAUGCACAAACGCUACAGGGGGUUGAUGGAAGUUUCAUGGAUGUGUGUGUCGUGGGAGCAGUGAGGUUUGUUGCGAGGUAGGAAAUGCUCCCCUAGGAGUGAGGUUGAGCGCAUAUUAUGUUGACGAUAGUAUUAUGGUGUUGUGGUGAUACUUGAGACAAAUAUGGGUAGAUGUGGAAGGUAGUAUGGGCCCGUACUACUGAAAGCACAGGACCCAUACGCGUAGCAAGGAAGUCACAACCCUUAGGGUAUGUGGGUUUUGGUCUCCCGAUAUUAUGUUGCUCAUCUCAUGUCUUGAGUAUAUCUUUCAGUAUGGUGGUGAUGAGACGUUUUGCUGCUGGGUCCGGAUCAGGGUCAGGGUCAAGGUCGGGAGACGGAGGGUUAGAGGUGUCGGUAGUACCUGAGCCCGUGGUUCAGAGAGGGACAGAGGAGUUGGAUGCCAAGAUCUGGGAGAUUCUGCACGAUGAGGUCGCUGCGGCCUUUUGAGCGCAGUUGCCGGAGAUGUUUGGGUCGAUUAAGACCACGAUGGUUGAGUAUUUUGAUGAGCGAUAUGCAGCUCUAGCUAAGAUAGUNCCACAUCGGCUGUAACCGCGACAGGGGUUGGAGGAGGAGUCGGCAGGGCUUUCCAGUACCGGGACUUCGAUAACACGAAGCCCCCAACGUUUGAUGCUACACAGGAUGCGAUUAGGGCUAUGAGGUGGUUGUAUGACGUGGAGGGUUGUUUCUUCACGUGCUCGUGCCCGGCUGACCAGAAGGUCAGGUGUGCCCUGAACCUGCUAAGGCUCGGGGCAAAGGACUGGUGAAGAUUUACGACAGUGUCAUAUAUUGAUGAUCAGCGAGCUGCUGUUACUUGGGAGAAGUUCCGAGAUAUGUUCCGCACCCGGUACGUUCCACGUGUUGAGCGGGAGCGGCUUGCUCAGGAGUUCUUGACUUUGAGGCAGGAUGGGGAUUUUGUGAUGGAGAUUACCCGUAUGUUCACAGAAAGGGAGAUGUUUUGCCCGGACUUUGCUUCAGAGUAGUCUCAGAUGUCUACACAGCAUUGUGAUACCCUCUUAGAUCUUCAGGAAGCCGCGAGGCGGCGUGAGUUGGAGUUAGAGCUGCAGUUGAAGGAGCAGCGUCAGGCACCAACACAGUCUCAGCCGGCGCCUGAGCGGUCUAAGAUUACUAAUGCUCGGGUUGGGAGUCAGCAGAGCUGCAUAUAUGGAAAGUGUGGCAGGGUUCAUUCUGGGGUUUGUCGAGCAGAAAGUGAGUGCCACUAAUAUGGAAAGGAGGGGAAUUAUGCCAGGGACUGUCAUCAGUCCGCCCCUCCAACAGAUAUGAGGAUUUGUUAUCAUUGUCAUAAGGUUGGUCAUGUGAAGACCAACUGUCCGCAGCUCGCCGCCAAGCCGACGCAGGGUUCCGCACCAACUGCUUUCAGGAUUGGGGAUGGGAGGCCAGUCAAGAUGGAGCCUCCAAAGGCUUAGGGUCGUGCUUUCCAGCUCACGGCCGAGGAGGCCAAGGCAGCACCGGAUGUGGUUGCUGGUGUGUUUCUAUUUUCUAUUUCAGUAUUUUAUCUGUGUAUGCUUAUUCGUUGUACCUGUGUUUAGGUACAUUUUUAGUAAACUCUUUGCCUGCUUUGAUUUUAUUCGAUUCAGGGGCGAUUCGUUCGUUUGUAUCUUAGACUUUCAAUAGAGGGUUUAGUGUGCCGAUAAAUGAGCUUGAGUGUCCGUUGCGGGUUUCGAUCGCCAACGAGCACAUGGUCUCUGCUUCUUCGAUCUGUCGGGGAUGUGAGUUGGAGAUCUUCGGGGUGUCCUUCCCGAUAGAUAUGAUUCCUAUUCCCAUGGGGGAAGUGUGUGUAAUUAUAGGGAUGGAUUGGCUCAGUCAAUUUGGCGCCAUGAUCGACUGUGAAGGACAGCGAGUGGUGGUUCGAACCUUAAGUGGGGGCGAAUUGGUGGUAUAUGGCGAGGGCACCAAGAUGGGAUCAAGGUUUUGUUCGGCGGCCAGGGUUCGACAGUAUAUUCAGCAUGGGUGCGCUGGUUAUUUAGCGUAUGUGGUGGAUACACGGGUUAGGGAUCAACCCUUGGUUUUGGAGGUCACAGUAGUUAGAGAUUUUGCUGACGUGUUUCCGAAGGAGUUACCCGGAGUGCCUCCGGAGAGGUAGGUUGAGUUUCGGAUUGACCUAGUGCCGGGUGCGGCCCCUAUUGCUAGGGCGCUAUAUUGUCUGGCACCGCCUGAGAUGCAGGAGCAAUCAUCUUAGUUGCAGGAGCUGCUGGGUAAGCAGUUUAUUCAUCCGAGUAGUUCAACCUGGGGAGCAUCGAUCCUUUUCGUCAAGAAGAAGGACGGUUCACACAGGAUGUGCAUUGACUAUAGGGAUUAAAUAAUUUAACGGUGAAGAACCGUUAUCCACUCCCGAGGAUAUAUGAUCUAUUCGAUCAGCUGCAGGGUACAUCUUGGUUUUCCAAGAUCGAUUUGAGAUCCGGAUAUCACCAGGUCAGGGUGAGGGAGGAAGAUGUGGAGAAGACUGCGUUUCAGACUCGUUAUGGUCAUUACAAGUUUGUGGUGAUGCCGUUUGGGCUCACCAAUGCUCCGACCGUGUUUAUAGAUUUGAUGAAUCGAGUCUACAGACCGAUGCUCGAUCGCUCGGUCAUUGUGUUUACAAAAGAUAUCUUGGUAUAUUCCAAGACCCGAGAGCAGCAUGAGGAGCAUCUCAGGGAGCUGCUGGAGGUUCUGCGGCGAGAGCGGCUGUAUGGCAAGUUCUUGAAGUGUGAGUUUUGGUUAUGAGAGGUCCAGUUCCUCAGACAUCUCUUUAAUCAGGAGGGGAUUUUAGUCGAUCUGGCCAAGGUGGAGGCGUUUAUGUAGUGGGAGACUCCGAAAUAUCCCUCAGACAUCAGGAGUUUCUUGGGUUUGGCAGGGUACUACCGGAGAUUUAUUCGAGAUUUCUCCAAGAUUGCUGUACCCCUCACUCGUCUUACGAGGAAGGGGUGGAUUUCCGGUGGGGCCCUGAGCAGUAGAGGGCGUUUGAGACCCUCUGGAAGUGUUUAUGUGAGGCACCGGUGUUGACACUCCCCGAGGGAUUCGAGGAUUUUGUAGUAUAUUAUGAUGCAUCCAUCUCGGGUUUGGGGGCAGUCCUCAUGCAGAGGGGACAGGUGAUAGCUUAUGCAUCGCGGCAGCUGAAGCCGCAUGAGAGGAGAUACCCUACGCACGAUCUUGAGUUGGGAGCGGUUGUUUUCCCACUCAAGAUUUGGAGGCAUUAUUUGUACGGUGUCAGUUGCACUAUAUAUACAGAUCACAAGAUUUUGAGAUGUUGGAUUAAUGUCUAAGUCCAUAACGAUAUUUGGUAUGUACUUGACCCGACCCGACAUGGUCCAUUUGGGUUGCAUGGCAUCGGGACAAUUGGAUAGACAAGAUGAGGAAAAAAAGGAUACUAGUGAUUUAUAUUAAUAUAUUAUAAGUUCUAAUAUAUUAAUAUAUAAUCAUAUUAUUUAAUUAAUAUUGAUCAAGAAUUAAUUUAUAAUUAAUUAAGUGAUCAAAAGGAACUAAUUAAAUAUGGACUCUUAGAUAUAUAUGUGUGAUUGGCCAAGUUCAUUUAGGUUGGGCUAAGCUUUCAUGGAUAGUCCAUGGAGUGUUUAACCCAUGGAUCAUAUGAAAUGAAGGGUCAUGGGUUUAACCCUAAUCUCCACACUAUAUAAAGAUGUCCUUGGUUGGUGAAAUAGGCACUAGUGUGUGUACACAAAAGGGCAAGGCCGAUUUCACUAGAGAGAACCAAAGUAUCCUUAUUCUCAAGGUUAUUCAGAGUGUUCAUGGUGUUGUGUGAACCAUUUGAGUUGUUACAAUUGGGACACUAGGCACUCAAGCUUCAUGUCAAUUUACAUAAAAAAAGGUAUGUAUUCUAUCUAUUUUAUCACCCAAGUAUAUGAUAUUUGUAUGCUAGUAUAGGGUAAUAUCUUGGAAACUUCAUAUUUGCAUGUAUAAUAGAGAAAACAUAGAUCCAAGGUAUUUAGGGUUGUAUGUGCACCAUAGGAUGUUGUCGUAAGCUCAACACCCAACAGUGGUAUCAGUGCCAUGAGUUGUGUUCUGUUAUAUUUAUUUCAGAUGACUCGUUAUCUGAGUAUGCUCAAGACUGAUAUUCGACAAUUCAUGUCUACACAGCGUUGUGAUACCCUCUUGGAUCUUCAGGAAGCCGCGAGGCGGCGUGAGUUGUAGUUAGAGCUGCAGUUGAAGGAGCAGCCUCAGGCACCGGCACAGUCUCAGCCGGCGCCUGAGCAGUCUAAGACUAUUGAUGCUCAGGAUGGGAGUCAGCAGAGCCACACGUGUGGAAAGUGUGGGAGGGGUCAUUAUGGGGUUUGUCGAGCAGGAGGUGGGUGCCACAAAUAUGGCAAGGAGGGGCAUUAUGCCAGGGACUGUCGUCAGUCCGCCCCUCCAGCAGAUAUGAGGAUUUGUUAUCAUUGUCAUCAGGCUGGUCAUGUGAAGACAAACUGUUCACAGCUCGCCACCAAGCCGACGCAGGGUUCUGCACCAACUGCUGUGAGGAUUGGGGAUGGUAGGCCAGUCAAGGUGGAGCCUCCAAAGGCUCAGGGUCGCGCUUUCCAGCUCACGGCCGAGGAGGCCAAGGCAGCACCGGAUGUGGUUGCUGGUAUGUUUCUAUUUUCUGUUUCAGUAUUUUAUCUGUGUAUGCUUAUUGGUUGUACCUGUGUUUAGGUACGUUUUUAGUAAACUAUUUGCCUGCUUUGGUUUUAUUCGCUUUGGGGGCGAGUCGGUCGUUUGUAUCUCGGACUUUCAGUAGAGGGUUUAGUGUGCCGGUAGAUGAGCUUGAGUGUCCGUUGCGGGUUUCGAUCGCCAACGAGCACGGGGUCUCUACUUCUUCGAUCUGUCGGGGAUGUGCGUUGAAGAUCUUCGGGGUGUCCUUCCCGAUAUAUUUGAUUCCUAUUCCCAUGGGGGAAGUCGUUGUGAUUGUAGGGAUGGAUUGGCUCAGUCGAUUUGGGCGCCAUGAUCGACUAUGAAGGACAGCGAGUGGAGGUUCGAACCCCAAGUAGGGGAGAACUGGUGAUAUAUGGCGAGGGCACCAGGAUUGGAUCAGGGUUUUGUUCGGUGGCCAGGGCUCGACAGUAUAUUCAGCAUGGGUGUGCUAGUUAUUUAGCGUACGUGGUGGAUACGCGGGUUAGGGAUCAGCCCUCGGUUUCGGAGAUCCCAGUAGCUAGAGAGUUUGCUGACGUGUUUCCGAAGGAGUUACCCGGUGUGCCUCCGGAGAGGCAGGUUGAGUUCCGGAUUGACCUCGUGCCGGGUGCGGCCCCUAUCGCUGGGGCGCCAUACCGUCUGGCACCGCCUGAGAUGCAGGAGCAAUCAUCUCAGUUGCAGGAGCUUCUGGGUAAGCAGUUUAUUCUUCCGAGUAGUUCACCCUGGGGAGCAUCGAUCCUUUUUGUCAGGAAGAAGGAUGGUUCACACAGAAUGUGCAUUAACUAUAGGGAGUUAAAUAAUUUAACAGUGAAGAACCGUUAUCCACUCCCGAGGAUAGAUGAUCUAUUCGAUCAGCUGCAGGGUACAUCUUGGUUUUCCAAGAUCGAAUUUAGAUCCGGAUAUCACCAGGUCAGGAUGAGGGAGGAAGACGUGGAGAAGACUGUGUUUCAGACUCGUUAUGGUCAUUACGAGUUCGUGGUGAUGCCGUUUGGGCUCACCAACACUCUGGAAGUGUUAAUGGUUUUGAUGAAUUGAGUCUGCAGACCGAUGCUCGAUCGCUCGGUCAUUGUGUUUAUAGACGAUAUAUUGGUAUAUUCCAAGACCCGAGAGCAGCAUGAGGAGCAUCUCAGGGAGCUGCUGGAGGUUCUGCGGCGAGACCGGUUAUAUGCCAAGUUCUCGAAGUGUGAUUUUUGGUUACGAGAGGUCCAGUUCCUCAUACAUCUCAUUAAUCAGGAGCGGAUUUUAGUCGAUCCUGCCAAGGUGGACUUGGUUAUGCAGUGGGAGACUCUGAAAUCUCCCUCAGACAUCAGGAGUUUCUUGGGUUUGGUAGGUACUACCGGAGAUUUAUUUGAGAUUUCUCCAAGAUUUCAGUACCCCUUACUCGUCUUACAAGGAAGGGGGUGGAUUUCCGGUGGGGCCCUGAGCAGUAGAGGGCGUUUGAGACCCUCCGGCAGUGUUUAUAUGAGGCGCCGGUGUUGACUCUCCCCGAGGAAGUCGAGGAUUUUGUUGUACAUUGUGAUGCAUCCAUCUCGGGUUUGGGGGCAGUCCUCAUGCAGAGGGGACGGGUGAUAGCUUAUGCAUCGCGGCAGCUGAAGCCGCAUGAGACGAGAUACCCUACGCACGAUCUUGAGUUGGGAGCGGUGGUUUUCCCUCUCAAGAUUUGGAGGCAUUAUCUGUACGUUGUCCGUUGCACUAUAUAUACAGAUCACAAGAGUUUGAGAUGUUGAAUUAAUGUCUAAGUCCAUAACUAUAUUUAGUAUGUACUUGACCUGACCCGGCAUGGUCCAUUUGGGUUGCAUGGCAUCGGGACAAUUGGAUAGACAAGAUGAAGAAAAAAAGGAUACUAGUGAUUUAUAUUAAUAUAUUAUAAGUUCUAAUAUAUUAAUAUAUAAUCAUAUUAUUUAAUUAUUAUUGAUCAAGUAUUAAUUUAUAAUUAAUUAAGUGAUCAAAAGGAACUAAUUAAAUAUGGACUCUUAGAUAUAUAUGUGUGAUGGGCCAAGUUCAUUUAGGUUGGGCUAAGCUUUCAUGGAUAGUCUAAGGAGUGUUUAAUCCAUGGAUCAUAUGAAAUGAAGGGUCAUGGGUUUAACCCUAAUCUCCACACUAUAUAAAGAUGUCCUUGGUUGGUGAAAUUGGCACUAGUGUGUGUAUACAAAAGGGCAAGACCUAUUUCACUAGAGAGAACCAAAGUAUCCUUAUUCUCAACGUUAUUCCAAGUGUUCAUGGUGUUGUGUGAACCAUUUGAGGUGUCACACUUGGGGCACUAGGCACUCAAGCUUCAUGACAAGUUACAUGAAAAAGGUAUGUAUUCUAUCUAUUUUAUUACCCAAGUAUAUGAUAUUUGUAUGCUAGUAUAGGGUAAUAUCUUGGAAACUUCAUAUUUCCAUGUAUAAUAGAGAAAACAUAUGUGCACCAUAGGAUGUUGUAGUAUCCUCAACACCCAACAGUGGUAUCCGAGCCAUGGGUUGUUUUCUGUUAUAUUCAUACAAAUGUUUGAUUUUCAAAGUUGAAAAAAAAAAAGAAAAAAAAACAUGAAUUUUGUCAAAUAUUAAGAUAAUUACUUGUUUUUUGAAAAACUAAUUAUUUGUAAAAUUUGAAUCAUUUGCUAGAUGAGUUGAAUUAGGUCAAAUUUAGUAAAUGAUAAAAUGAUAUGAUUAUUUUAUUAGUUUUAAAAGUUUGAUUUAAAUGUUUUAAGGAGUUACAAAUUUGUCAUAAAAUUUUGGAGCUCAAAUUUUUUUUGUAAAGUUGUGAUCUCAAGUGUUUUGAAACCUCCAUAAGUUAUGGAUAUGAAAAUGUUUUAUAAAAAAUUGAUUCAAAGUUUUUAUGGAGUUACAAAAUUUGGUGUUAAUGUUUUAAACAACUCCAUAACUUAUUCUUAAGUUAUGGAACAUGAAAAGUUUCAUCAUAAAACAAGCAUUUACCUCCAUAAGUUAUGGAUUACCAAAAGUUUUAUGUUUCCUUGAUUUAUGAGUUAGUUUAGAUUAAUGGAAAAAAAUUGUGUUUUAGUUGUUUUCAAUCCUAAUUAAUCUAAAGGUAGUUCAUAAAAUGUGUUUUUGUAACUUGUUCUCAAAUUACAUAAAAGGUCACAUUUAUGAAUCUUAAAACUCAUAAAAGUGCCAUAAGUUACAUAAAAAAUGAAGAGUCUUUUUCAUUAAAUAGUAUUAUGACUCCAUAACUUGUCAUCAAGUUAUGGAUGUUUAAGAGUCACUUCUUUAAAAGUGUUAUUAAAGAAUAACAGGUUACAUAAAAAAUGAAGAGUCUUCAUUUUUAUGAACCAUUAAACUCAUAAGUUAUGAAAUGAAAAGUUUUGAAUAGUUUCAAAAACUUGCCCUCAAGUUUUGGAAUUUGUAAAGUUUUCACUUAUGAAUACUUUAAUUCCAAGUUAAGCCCUUAGAAUUUUAAAAGUUAAAAUUCAACCCUUAUACUUUAUAAUAUUAUAAGUUAAUAAUAUUUAUAUAUAUGUAUANCACAUGAGGUUUCUUAUGUAGUGUUAGAUUCUUUAGUCUAUGCUGAAAGUGUAAUUUAUUCCUCAUAUUGAAUAAAUCGAGUGAUCAUUCGACAUAAUCUUCAUUAUUUGUGUUUGUUCUUAUUUUCCGCAUCUUGUUCAUCAAAUCACAAUUAGGGUUUUCAUCCCAACAAGUGGUAUCAGAGCGGGUCUUUGAAGAUCUGUUGAUUUUUGAAGUAUCGGUUCUUGAUUUGAUGAUUUUCUGCACAAGAUUUUGAAGAUUGUUGGUGUUUUGGCGGUUUGGAAUCAAAAUUCUUGUUCGAUCUACUGUUCAUGAAGAUUUAUGGUAUAUUCUACUGUUCAUCGUGGUAUUUUUCUGUUCUUUGAAUCUGAUUUGCUUUGAGAUCAAAAUCUAUUGAUUCAAUUGUAUUUCAAUAAAUUCACGCUUGAGUCCAAUCCACGAGUUCCACUGUUAUUCAAUUUUUUUUUGGAUCUGAUUAUUACUCAUUCAACCGAUCCAACACCAGUUAUUUGUUCCUGAGCCCAUUAAUGCCAAUUACUGUUCAUCAAUUCAGCCCGCAUCUUGGUCUUUGAAAUUGUGUGAUCUGGGUCAUAUGGUCAACUCCUCUCCACAGGAAAUCGUUGUACUAUUCUUCGGUUCUUGAAUUGUAAUUUAUGAUCGAUAUUAUUGUCAAAAUCAAUUUUUGAUUUUAUUGAUUUUGAGUUUAAUCUUGUCGAUUCAUUCUUUCAUUGAAUAUCGAUUUUGUAUAGUGAUUGUAUUGAUCUGAGAAAGUCGAUUUUGGCAUUUGUCAAUAAUCGGUCUUGAUUGUCAAAGUAAAAAAAAAAAUCAAAAUCGACUUAUGUAAACGAAGAACAGUGGGUUAUUGAUCGGAAUUGAUUUGAAGACAGGUUCACAAUCGCUAAAUGGGUUUUGCAUUCGGGGCUUCAUAUAAUCAAAACAAAUGAAUUUACAAUCAGUAGAGUGAUGUUUGGAAUCGAAAUUCAAUUGGGAAGAAGAUUGAUGGUUUGUAGAUGGUGUAAUGGUGCUGCAAGCAGAAUGUGUUUGUGUAUCUGUUCGCAAUUGAUAGUCAAAGGCACAUUCAGAAAAGUCAAAAUCGACCGUGGUUCAGGUGAAUAAUGAGCGAACGCUAACCUGCAAACGUUCGCCUGUGAUUGGAUUUGUUGACAUACAUUCGCUUUGGGGUGUGAUCAUUCGAUUCGGAAGCGAACCUGUGAUUGGGUUCGUUUGUCAGCCCUUGGAACGAAAGAGGGGAGGACCGAAAGCGAACUUGUGGUUCGGCUCGGCUAAGGUUUCACUCCUUGUUCGCAUCGUGAUGUACCUGGAACAAACUUAAGUUCGGUUGGCUGCUCUUGGAACGAAAGCACUUGGAAGAAAGAAGGAAGGACCGAAAGCGAAAGGUGAUUCGCCUGAUGAAGCUUGGAACGGACCUGGAAGCGAAUGUCUCAAAUGGAAACGAAUGGAACCGAACGCUCGGUUGGGUUCGCUUCGGGUGUAUAAUUGACGAUCUUGGAACGAACUUAGAUUCAGUCGCUUGUGCUCGGAACGAAAGUAUAUGAAACUAAUUGGAGUCAUAUUUGUAGGUUCGUCUGUGACCAUUCGUUUAAAAUCACCAUUCCAGUCGCAUCCUUUUAUCAGGUUUCAAAUGAUGAAGAUAACUCAAAGUUUCACACUUGGUCCCUGCAACUUCAAGAACUUGACGAUCUGGUCCCUAUACUUUUCAUGCUUUGGCGGUUUUGGACUAAUUCCAGAUUUUGUUGCAAAUAAAGGGGUUUAUUGGUGCAUGAUUACAAUUUCAGCCCCUGAGUUUCUGGAAAGUGAUAAUUUCAGCCCAUUUUCGAAAAAGUUUACAAUCUUAAGGGCUGGUGAACAGUUUUGAAUUCUUUAACGCACAUAUCUUUUUCGUGAACAGAAAAAUAAAGAUUCCAUCAAGUCUUGGUGGUUCGGAAAGUCAUUUUUCGUGAUAACGUCAAAUUUUCACGAUUUUUUGGGAUUUUAUACUUCAUUGUGUAUAUCUUUUUGUCGCGGGGGAGCUUAGUAAAUUUUUAUCCAUUCAAGAUCAUUCUCAUGACCAUUUGAAGGCUUUAUAAUCAUGUUUUUGAUUAUAAAUCGGGGGAGAAUUUGGUAUGGCCAUUCGAAAUUGGAUUUGUGACUUUUCAAAGUUGAAGAUUUUUGAUAAAGCUUGUGGUAGAAUUAUGAAGGUAGCUUUUACAACGGAAGUUCUUCAUCGAGCUCUGCUAAAGCUUUUACAGAGAAGUAUCCUUUACAGCGGAAGUUCUUUAUCGAGCUCUGCUAAGGACUUGUUAUAUCUCCGACUUCUUGUAUUUUCUCGAUCAAGUGGCGUUACGAAUCUUAAAGUUUGGGUUGUUACAUGAUAUUUUUUGAUGGCUUAUAUCAUUAGCUUAUUUGAAGAUCAUUGUGACUUGGAGGGGGAGCUCUUCAAAGACAAGAAGUGAUUCGGUUUCUUUGUUCUGAAAUGGGUUUUUAUGGCGGGUUUGGUUUUCAUGAAGAUUCUUUGGGAUUACAUUCGAAAAUGAAGUUUAAAGACAUUACUUCAGUGCUUGAUUUAUAUAUCCUAGAGCCCGUGUUUGAAGACUAUUGAAGAAUCAAGAUUCGUGGAUUGCUUCAUAUAUUCCUCGUUGCAGAUCUUUUUAUUUGCUAGAUGCUUGUUUUGGAAGUUAAAGCAUUGUCAUCCAUUCCAUACUUUGAGGGGGAGAUUGUAGGGUUUCAAAGCACUCCAUGGAUGAUGGCAAUGGGCCCCUUUGAUGAAUUCUAGGUUAAAAGCCCAAGACUUGUCUUUUCCCUAUAAAUAGUCAUGUAUUAUUCANNNNNNNNNNNNNNNNNNNNNNNNNNNNNNNNNNNNNNNNNNNNNNNNNNNNNNNNNNNNNNNNNNNNNNNNNNNNNNNNNNNNNNNNNNNNNNNNNNNNNNNNNNNNNNNNNNNNNNNNNNNNNNNNNNNNNNNNNNNNNNNNNNNNNNNNNNNNNNNNNNNNNNNNNNNNNNNNNNNNNNNNNNNNNNNNNNNNNNNNNNNNNNNNNNNNNNNNNNNNNNNNNNNNNNNNNNNNNNNNNNNNNNNNNNNNNNNNNNNNNNNNNNNNNNNNNNNNNNNNNNNNNNNNNNNNNNNNNNNNNNNNNNNNNNNNNNNNNNNNNNNNNNNNNNNNNNNNNNNNNNNNNNNNNNNNNNNNNNNNNNNNNNNNNNNNNNNNNNNNNNNNNNNNNNNNNNNNNNNNNNNNNNNNNNNNNNNNNNNNNNNNNNNNNNNNNNNNNNNNNNNNNNNNNNNNNNNNNNNNNNNNNNNNNNNNNNNNNNNNNNNNNNNNNNNNNNNNNNNNNNNNNNNNNNNNNNNNNNNNNNNNNNNNNNNNNNUAUAUAUAUAUAAGAGUAAAGUCGUCUUACCAUUAGUAGGCCUCAUUCACGAAGCCGCUCUAUAAGGGGGGGGGUAUAAGGUUACUACCUAUAACAUGGCAGUUUAAUGAGUGUCCACUCUCACCCACCGCUUCCUUGACCGUGGGGGGUCGUUAGCCGAAUGAGUAAGACAAGGACUAUAAUUCUCCCUUCAUUAAAAGUAUUAAUGAUAAAUACUAAGUAAUUAAACUCUUAUUAAUACCGAAUCUUAGUUACUUAGAAAAAUGUGAAUUUGGUGCUAACCCAUGAAAUUACACUUUGUACUUUGUUUAAGUCGGUUAGUGGAGCGUGUGUGGUUAACCGGCACACUAGCUUGAUUUAACAAGGUACGUAAAGGGUAACUUAAUGUUUAUCAUAGUGUCGGUGGAGCGUGUGUGGUUAACCGACACAUCGAUUGAGGGGUAAAUAUUAAGGGUACCAAGUUGAUUUGCAUGGUUAUUCACACCUUAUUUUGUGAUCAUCGGCAUCCCAGUCAUAAAACCUGAAGCGCAAACUUGAGAUUGAAACCUGCCUUUUAAAAGUUCAAUGAAUCUCAAAAGAAUAUAGGACUUUCAAAACCAAUUAAAACAUAAUAAUACAUUUCGUUUAUCUUGGUGGAAAUUGGUGAAUCUUCAUUCGCCUACCUUCAAAUAUUUUAUAGCUUGGAUUAUGUAAUCCCUCUUCCAAGUUAUAAAAUAGUUUGCUGGGUCCUAGCCUUAAUGUUUCAUAUUGGGUGUUAUAUUAAGGACUUUAGAUCAACUAUCUUGAAUAUCUCCCAAAACGAUGUCUGGUUCAGACAUCUAUGAUCCUCCUAAAUCUCUUGGAACUUCACUUCCUCCACCUCCUCCAAUUAUUCUCCCUAACCUACAAGUUCAAGGUCACUCAAGCCCUAUUGGCAAGCAAGGUCUAUGUGUGAUCGCAUCUUGGAGAUGAAGUCACAUAUCGACAAGCCAGGAGAGUUGGGUGUCAAACUCUUAAGAAAGUUGGUGGUUCUAUCACUUUCUAAGUCACAUAGUGAAUUCCUUUGGGACUACUAUGAAACAGACUAUGACAUGACCAUUAAUGAUCUUAUCUAUUUGCUUGGUGCUGCUGAAUCAGUAAUAAUUUGGAGCACUGGGAGAGAAAGUUUGAUUAGUAGAUCAACUUCCCAAACUACCAUGGACAUUGACAAUGGUAACAUUGGAUAUCUAGAAAAUCCUUCUCUUCCCAAGGAAAGGGAUUGACUAUAGUCAACUAGGUUGACCAAAUGGUAAAGAGAAAGGCUAAGCCUGCGAUAGUCCCAUGUACCAUUCCCAAAGAGUCCCUAUGUUUCUCUUGCCAAAGGAAGGGGCAUUGAUUGCGAAGCAUCCUAUUUACCUGAAAGAUCAUAAGGUUGAUCAAGUCAAGAAGAUUGACUCUACUUCAGGUAAAGUCCACUAUCUAACUCUGUUAAGUUUCUAUUAUGAGAUUCUUGUUACAUGAUGUGACUGGGUCACAUGUUGAUGUUUUAAGAAUCAAAGAAAAGUGAAGAAACUUAAAGGAAGUAUAUGCUGAUUCUGAUCGCGAAGAUGGAUCUCGAUCGCAUGGUUCUAUGAUCAGAAUUUUGAGCUGUUGCUUAGGAGUUAUGAUAUAUUGCUUAGGAAUAGAUAACAACAAAGUUUUUCGUGUGCUUUUGUACUGUAAGGAUAGUUUUUCCGCAAAGUUUUUAAAAUAAAAGGAAAAAAAUUGAUUUUACUUAUUUUAAAAUAUCCUUACAAUGGCAUUUGUGAAAAGGAAAAAAUUGUUGCUUAUAUGAUUCCAUUAAUAGAAAGAGUGGAAAUAUGAAUUUGAUUCUUUCAUUUGUGGUAGUGUCUAAAUUUUCCAAAUAAGGAAAGAUUCUCAUCACCCAAGUUUUAGUUGGAUAGAAACUUGGAAUCAUGCAAGUUGUAUAGUAUGAUGAAUGAGAACUUUCAAGCAUUGGAAAUUAAGACUAAUUACUUGUUCACAUGGAUGUGUGAGUCAAGUAAAGGACUAAGGGAUCGAGUACACAUUCUUGUGCACUGAUCAAGCCCACCACAAAUGUAACUUGAGUGACACAUCUUAAAGAAGGUUUAUUAACACUAGUGAAAUGUAAGAGUAAAAGGUUUUCUACUCUUGUACAUUUGAAUUUGGUAAGUUGUGAUGUUUUGGAUAAAACAGAGACCAACUUAGGCCAAUUGUGUUAAGUGUUUGUCUUGAUUAGAAUCCACACUAUCUCUUGAAUAUUUGGCAAGAAAGUCUUAUAGGUCAAGGAGACAGUGGGAGUCUAAAAGAUCCUGAAAGGGUUUCAAGAAGUAAUCAAGAAUAAAACCUGUAUUUCAUCACUAGCACACAACUAGAGGUUUAUAGCCUAUCGUGUUGACAUUUCUGUGCCCAUUCCAGUUAGGUUGGCUAUAUAUAUUUUAGUUCUACAUGUUCUCAAUUGUUUGCAUAACUACAUGGAAGCAAUGGCAGACCCUUGUGCUGCUAGGUGGCAAGAGGUUAAGAUUGCUCAAGUUCAAUCCAUAUGCGUUAGGAUUUGUCACUAACCUAGUCUUGUGAUUAUGGAUUGACAAAUUCACAUGGAUAAGAACACAUACACCAUAAAUUCUAAGUGUCAUAAGGUUUCUCUCUGAUUCAUGAAAUUGACAGUGAGGAAAUUCUUUCACUAAGUAGAUUUUAAGUAGAUAGCAAUUGUGAUAUUUUUAGUUCUCAAAUUCGUUAGUGGAGCGUGCAUGGACACUAACAUGGACUUAUGAGAAAUGUCAAAGGUCUAAACAAUUGAGACUGUGAUUACGACAUCCCUUUUCAUAGCUCUUAAAUUGUUUAGACACACCUGUGAGAUAUCUAAGAGAGGUGUAUGAUUUUGAUAAAGUCUUAUCAAAAAAAUAUAGUAUCAGAAAUCUAAACUUUGGUAAGAAAGUCAAUAAAGUAUUGAUAUCUAGAAGUCCAGCUCAUUUCUGGAUACAUGUCAAAGCUAGUGGGAGCAUAAGUGUUAUGCUAAUAAUCAUCAUGUUAGUGGGAGCAUGAUAAUUAUGAUAAGUAUUGCAAGUUAGCAAUGUUAAUUAUAGAAAACAAAAGUUUCAAUUCGUGAGGUUGCAGGGGUUGAAAAAGUUGUUUUGCUAUAAUUAAGGGAGAGGAAAUUAUACUUCAUUUCAAUUCUAAAAAGCUUAGAUUGAGUUUAUAAUCAUUCUAAAGAGCUUAUAUUGAGAUUUUAAUCACCUUUAGUCAAGAAUUUAUAUAUGAAUUUCAUUUUGGAUUGGUUCAACUUAAGAAAAUUCUAUAUAUUGCGUUCUCAAAAUUCGAUUAUGAUUACGACAUCCCUUUUCAUAGUCAAAUUUUAAGAAUAUGGCAAACAAAAAAUUAUUAUGGCAAAAGACUAGUCUAGAACCAUGUCUUUAUGUGAAACAUUAUCAAUCGUGUCCCAUUUACUUUGGGUACAAGAUCGAUUACAUGUGCUAUAAUAUUUAUUCUUUCUAAAUUUUCCAAAUGCCUUGGGGCAUUAAGGAGGAAAAUUUCUAGAAUUGGAUAUGACUAAAGUGAUUAAGCAAUUGUCGAGGACAAUCUAAGGUUUACCAAAGAUUGGUUGAUCAAGGACAGUUGGAAGUAUACUGUUAAUAUUGGAAGGACCAUAUUGACAUAGUCUGAAAAGAGGCAACUCUUGUUCAGAAGUGGUAGUCAAAAUGGGAAUAUAGAGUUGUCUUCAUAGGUGGAAGCAAUCUGUGUAAGGUUAAAGAAACUUAAUGCAAGAAGCAUGUUCAAAGCAAUGCGCUUUGAAUUUGAGACAUCGUUUCCAUGGAAUUGCUCUCCAUUGGAAUACUCUGUAAUGAUUGUUUCCAAGUCUUUGUGGCUUUGUGCAUAAUCAUUACAAGAGGAUCUGUGCAUAUAAGUUUAAAAUCUAAACAGAUUUCAAUAAAUGUUAGGAAUUCUUACAUUUACGACAAGGAUUUGGAAGUGUGAAAAGAGAAUCAUUGAAAUUAUGUUCAAUCGAUCUAGUUCACAAAGUAAGGAUCAUAGAUAAACAUAGAGUGCAUACUUGGUGUAUGGCAAAGCUAUUGUUUAGAAAAACAUAGUGUACAUGCUUGGAGCAUGGGACAACUAGUGUUUUUAAUUCAGGUAUAAAGUUGAUAAAACCGAAACAAUGAAUAAUGAGUAAUCAGUAUGGUGAUAAGUAAAAGUGGUCUAUUUAUAUUCAUAGGGUUUGAUACCAUAUUUAAUUCAUUUAUUCUUGUAUUUCACUUUGCAUGUUUUGACUUCCAUAAUAACUAGGUUAUUCUUCCAGAAUGACUAAGUUAUUCAAACCAUCCAUAGUCGCUCAUAUGUUGGAAGUAGAUAUGAAUCAAGACUGUCAUGGGUUGGCUUGUAGAGGUCCAAGUUGGUGGACAAAGUUGUGCUACAACACUCAUGAGNCUCAUAAGUUUUGAGUAUUGGAUUUAACCCGCGCUCAUUUAAAUCACUUCAUGGAUUUUAUCACGAGUGAUCAUGAGAUGGUAACAUCUUAUAUUCUUCAAACCUAGAGAUAUGAGUUGUUACUAUGAGUUGGUUAUACAUUGAUUGCACGAAAACGCAUUGGUAACUCGAUGUUAUAAAAUGUGCCUUUGUAUAUGAUUCAACAAGUAGUAGAACAAGCCAUAUGAGUCGAAGUUUAUCCAUUCCUUUUACCUUCGGGAUAAAAGCGAUAUAUGUGGGCCCCUCGAUGAUUUAGUGAUGACACAUGUGAGUGCUUGGCCAAGCCAGGACUGAUUUGAUUUGUUCAAUCAGUCAUUCGUCAUAAAUCGAAAAUCAGGAAACAACAAAUGGACAGAUAAAAUGUUUUAUAAUCCAUGUCUCAGUCCAUAUGAUAUCUAUAAUGGAGGAAUAUUCGAUCCCUUAUCUAAUGGAAAAGUCAUUGACAAGAUCAGAGUUCAGUUAACACGUCAGAGUUCGACAGAAGCUUUUGAGAGCUACGAUUGCUAGUCGGGUUUUGAAGUCAUACUCAAUAAUAGUUUUAGACUUAUCCAAGUGGGAGACUGUUGGAUUAAUGUCUAAGUCCAUAACUAUAUUUGGUAUGUACUUGACCCGACCCGGCAUGGUCCAUUUGGGUUGCACUUCACCGACACAAUUUANGAAAAAAGGAUACUAGUGAUUUAUAUUAAUAUAUUAUAAGCUCUAAUAUAUUAAUAUAUAAUCAUAUCAUUUAAUUAGUAUUGAUCAAGAAUUAAUUUAUAAUUAAUUAAGUGAUCAAAAGGAACUAAUUAAAUAUGGACUCUUAGAUAUAUAUAUGUGUGAUGGGCCAAGUUCAUUUAGGUUGGGCUAAGCUUUCAUGGAUAGUCCAAGGAGUGUUUAACCCAUGUAUCAUAUGAAAUGAAGGGUCAUGGGUUUAACCCUAAUCUCCACACUAUAGAAAUAUGUCAUGGGUUGGUGAAAUAGGCACUAGUGUGUGUACAAAAAAGGGCAAGGCCGAUUUCACUAGAGAAAACCAAAGUAUCCUUAUUCUCAAGGUUAUUCCAAGUGUUCAUGGUCUUGUGUGAACCAUUUGAGGUGUCACACUUGGGGCACUAGGCACUCAAGCUUCAUGGAGACAAGUUACAUCAGAAAGGUAUGUAUUUUAUCUAUUUUAUUACCCAAGUAUAUGAUAUUUGUAUGCUAGUAUAGGGUAAUAUCUUGGAAACUUCAUAUUUGCAUGUAUAAUAGGGAAAACAUAGAUCCAAGGUAUUUAGGGAUAUAUGUGCACCAUAUGAUGUUAUAGUAUACUAAAACCCAACAUGAGACACAUCAUGGAUCAACCGAACCUGAACAUGAGGCAGUGUAGGUGGCUGGAUGUGGUCAAGGACUACGAUUGUGAGAUACUUUACCAUCCUGGUAAAGCGAAUGUGGUUGCGGAUGCUUUGAGCCGCAACUCAGCUGGGUCUUUUACCCUAGCAAGGUGUAUGAGGAUAGCGGUGGAUUCCCCGCUUGUGAGCUUGAUUAGGGAUGCUCAUGUUUAGGGUAUGAGACCGGAGAACUGGAAGUUGGAAAGAAUUAAGGGCGUGAGCGCCUGGUUUGUUCAGGAUAUUCGCGGGUUGUUGACCCGUUACGGUCGGGUUUGGGUUUCGAUGUCCGGAGGAGUUCGGCAGACAGUGAUGGAGGAGGCUCAUAAGUCUCACUUUUCUAUUCAUCCGGGGCCACCAAGAUGUACCGUGAUUUGAGUUUGGGUUAUUGGUGGCCCGGAAUGAAGCGAGAAAUCACUGGGUAUGUUGAGUGGUGCCUGACCUGUAGAAUGGUCAAGGCCGAGCAUCAACAACCGCAUGGUAAGCUGCAGCCUCUGGAAAUUCCGAUGUGGAAAUGGGAGCAGAUCACGAUGGAUUUUAUUACGAAGUUGCCACCGAGAACGGCGAAGGGGUUUGAUGCUAUAUGGGUCAUCGUGGAUCGGUUGACCAAGAGUGCCAAUUUCUUGGCCAUACGGGAAAGUUCGUCGGCUGAGAAAUUGGCUGACAUAUAUGUCAGCGAGAUUGUCUCUCACCAUGGGGUUCCAGUUUCUAUCAUUUCCGAUCAGGAUGUCAGGUUUACUUCCCGUUUUUGGCAGAAGUUCCAUGAGGAACUGGGUACGCGACUACACUUUAGUACAACAUUCCAUCCGCAGACCGAUGGGAAGAGUGAGCGGACCAUCUAGACCCUCGAGGAUAUGCUGAGGGCGUGCGUCAUUGACUUUGGUGGGAGUUGGGAUUCCUACCUACCGCUUGCAGAGUUCGCCUACAACAACAACUAUCAUUCCAGUAUUGGCGCCCCGCCUUUCGAGCUGUUGUAUGGGCGGAAGUGUAGAACCCCAGUCUGCUGAGGUGAGAUUGGGCACAGGGUGAUGGCGCGGACAGAGGUAGUUCUGCAAACUACCGAAAAGAUACAGCAGAUUAGACAGCGUUUGCAGACAGCUCAGAGUCGGCAGAAGAUUUAUGCUUACAGACCCCGAUCUGAAUUGGAAUUUCAGGUGGGUGGCAUGGUACUUCUAAAAGCCUCACCUUGGAAAGGUGUGAUUCGCUUCAAGAAGAGGGGAAAAUUGGGUCCCCGUUAUAUUGGGCCAUUCAGGAUCAUUGCCAGGGUUCGCAAGGUGGCUUAUAGGCUCGAGCUCCUGGAGGAGCUUAGCUAGAUCCACAACACGUUCCAUGUUUUGCAGUUGCGAAAGUGCAUUAUGGAUCAUGAGGCAGUAGUAUCAUUGGACGACAUUCAGGUCGAUGAGCGCCUGAAUUAUGUGGAGAGGCCGGUGGCCAUUUUAGAAAGGAAGAAGAAGAUUCUUCAGAACAAGGAAAUACCGUUGGUGAAGGUGCAAUGGGAACACCGGAGGGUAUCUAAGUGGACAUGGGAGCUGGAGACGGAGAUGCACGAGCAUUACCUAGCAUUGUUUAUUUCAAAGGACUUCGAGGGCGAAGUCUAGUUCAAGUGGGGGAGAACUGUAAUGCCCCAAUUCUCAGGUAUGGAUUUAAAUAAAAGGUUCUUUGGUUUUAAGUCCUACUUGACGAGUUCGUUGCCCUACUCGUCGAGUAGCAGCGGGGUGAGAUCGCAUGUUAAGUGACCUACUCGCCGAGUCCAGGGAGGGACUCGACGAGUAAGAGCUCGCAGAAGAAACCCUAAAUCUCGGGGUUUUGCACCAUAUUUAAGGAAACCUCAGCCUCCUUUGGCCUCCUUACAGUCUUUGAGAGCUCAAUGAAACCCUAAUUCAUGUGGUACUCCUUGUGGUGUGUGUUAGACCUUAGAAAGAAGAUUGGCUUGGAGGGAAGAGCAUGAAGAGCAAAGGGGUUGAGGCAAGGAACGUGUGGGAAAUAGAACUUACCUCAUCUAGCAUCUUUUGGAGGUAUCAAGUUGCAAUAUUUACUCCCCUUUUCUUCUAGAUCUCUUUGUGGUUGAGUUCUAGGGUUUUAUGGAUUUUUGGGAGUCACAUUGGUGAGCUAUGGGCUAGAUCUGAAGUUGUAACUUCAGAUCUGGACCCUUCUCAAGUUCUAGAAUCAUAAAGUUUCUGUUUUGGUCGUGGUUGAGGCCCUCCUUGUGCAUGAAACCUCAUUAAGAGCUUAGAUUUGGCAUUAAGAGCCUUGUUAGUCAUGCAUGCACGUAAAGUUUGCAACUUUAUGUGAAAAGCAUGUCCUAGAAGCUUGGAUUUGUAAUUUAGAGCCAUUACAUGGCUUAAAUAAGUCUGUAUGGCUUAAGGACUGAAGGAACUUGGCGAGUCGCAAGGUUGACUCGGCGAGUCAUAUGAAGAUGGCCGAUGAACUCGACGAGUUGAUGAACAACUCGGCGAGUUCGAUGAAGAUUGCCUUAUAUUUGACGAGUUGUAUUAACAACUCGGCGAGUCUG
rnacentral:lncRNA from 1 species